UACGUAAGGGUGCAAGCGUUAAUCGGAAUUACUGGGCGUAAAGGUCGUGCGCGAGCGGUUUGUUAAGUCUGCCGUGAAAUCCCCGGGCUCAACCUGGGAAUGGCGGUGGAUACUGGAUAGCUAGAGUGUGUCAGAGGAUGGUGGAAUUCCCGGUGUAGCGGUGAAAAUGCGUAGAGAUCGGGAGGAACAUCAGUGGCGAAGGCGGCCAUCUGGGACAACACUGACGCUGAAGCACGAAAGCGUGGGGAGCAAACAGG
rnacentral:rRNA from 1 species